rnacentral:rRNA from 1 species
AUUGAACGCUGGCGGCAGGCCUAACACAUGCAAGUCGAGCGAGCGGCGGACGGGUGAGUAAUGUCUGGGGAACUGCCCGAUAGAGGGGGAUAACUACUGGAAACGGUGGCUAAUACCGCAUACUAUCGGAUGAACCCAUAGGGGAUUAGCUAGUAGGUGGGGUAACGGCUCACCUAGGCGACGAUCCCUAGCUGGUCUGAGAGGAUGAACAGCCACACUGGUACGGAGAAACGGUCCAGACUCCUACGGGAGGCAGCAGUGGGGAAUAUUGCACAAUGGGCGCAAGCCUGAUGCAGCCAUGCCGCUUGUAUGAAGAAGGCCUUGGGGUUGUAAAGUACUUUCAGCGGGGAGGCGUUACCCGCAGAAGAAGCACCGGCUAACUCCGUGCCAGCAGCCGCGGUAAUAC